rnacentral:rRNA from 1 species
GCACAGUAAACGAUGAUAACUCGCUGUUGGCGAUAGACAGUCAGUGGCCAAGCGAAAGCGAUAAGUUAUCCACCUGGGGAGUACGUCGGCAACGAUGAAACUCAAAGGAAUUGACGGGGGCCCGCACAAGCGGAGGAACAUGUGGUUUAAUUCGAUGAUACGCGAGGAACCUUACCCGGGCUCGAACGGUGCAGGAAGAGAUCCAGAGAUGGUGACGCCCUUCGGGGCCUGCAUCGAGGUGCUGCAUGGUUGUCGUCAGCUCGUGCCGUGAGGUGUCGGCUUAAGUGCCAUAACGAGCGCAACCCUUGUUGCCAGUUACCAACAGGUUAUGCUGGGGACUCUGGCGAGACUGCCACCGUAAGGUGUGAGGAAGGGGGGGAUGACGUCAAAUCAGCACGGCCCUUACGUCCGGGGCGACACACGUGUUACAAUGGUGGGUACAGAGGGCGGCUAUCCGGCGACGGAAUGCAAAUCUCGAAAACCCAUCUCAGUUCGGACUGGAGUCUGCAACUCGACUCCACGAAGUUGGAUUCGCUAGUAAUCGCGCAUCAGCCAUGGCGCGGUGAAUACGUUCCCGGGCCUUGUACACACCGCCCGUCAAGCCAUGGAAGUUGGGGGUGCCUGAAGUCCGCGACCGAGAGGAACGGCCUAAGGCAAAACCGAUAACUGGGGCU